AUUGUAAAGUUUAAACCAAAUUUAAAUGCUUCAUUACUGAAGUACUUCUCAAAGAUUUUAGUAAACUAAUGGGUGUUGUGAAUCUAUAAGAGGUAGAUUCCACACACAACAUUUAGGACAGUCUCCUAAUUAUAUGAGUGCAAAACCUCUUCCUUUGGUUGGUUGGUUUUACCAGCACAUUCCAUGGAAUCUGUGUUUCAAGAGACAUAUUUUUUUUUUAAAGAUUUUAUUUUUUUUCCUUUUUCUCCCCAAAGCCCCCCGGUACAUAGUUGUAUAUUCUUUGUUGUGGGUCCUUCUAGUUGUGGCAUGUGGGAUGCUGCCUCAGCAUGAUUUGGUGAGCAGUGCCAUGUCUGCGCCCAGGAUUCGAACCAAUGAAACACUGGGCCGCCUGCAGCAGAGCGCGUGAACUUAACCACUCGGCCAUGGGGCCAGCCCCUCAUGAGACAUAUUUUGAGACAAGCUUUUAAGUGUGUUUUGUUAAAUUCUAAUUCUCUAAAAACUGUAGCUAUAUGCAUGUCAUAUAGGUUUAACCUUUGCUUCCCAGCACAUCUAUAUUUCCAGACAAUUCCAAAUUACCUAGAGAUGGAUGGACGGAUGGAUGGAUGGAGAGAUGGAAAAGAAGGAAGGAAGGAAGGAAGGAAGGAAAACAGAAAGGAAGGAAAGAAGGAAAAAAGCAACAGCAAGAGUUCCUUCGCUAGAGCUGACGGCAGUCUAAGCAGCCAAGCUUGAGAUCAUCUGGUCCUCCAAGAACCAGCAGCAUCAGCAUCUACCGGGAGCUUGUUAGCAAUGCAGACUCUUGGGCCCAACCCCAGACCUGCUGAGUCAGACUCUGCAUGUUCACCAGAUUCGUGGGUGAUUUGCCGGGACUUUAGUGUUCAAGAAGCCCGAAUCUAACUGUGUGCUUUGCACAUACAAUUGCGAAAAGACAUUCAUUACUCAGCCUUAAGGGAUUCUCCUAAAUCAAAUUGUGGCUGGUUAGAGGGCAAGCCAGUAAAUUCAGAGAGGGUAAAAAAUGCAGAAAGGGAACCUGAGGGUGAACAGAGAUAAUUCCUCUGCUAGGUUUGUGCAAAAUUGGAUUAGCUGUUUAUGAUUUUUCUUCAAUAUGGUUUUUAAGUGGAGCCAUUAUGACUCAGGUCUAAGGGGCUCAGAGUCAUUAAUUGAAGUGGUACUGAGAAUUAAGAAGGCACCCCUCUUCCUCUCCUUUAUCAUCUUUCUUGUUUUUUGGGAAGAGGGAGGUGGAUAAAGAAAUUUCCAAACUGCCUAGAUUGGGGGUCCUCACCUGGGGGUCUGUGAUCCAGAUGUGGUGUAGGGGAAAUGUCAGGUCCCUGGCAUCCAACCAGCCUGGGUUCUUAUCUAAAUUCUGCAGCUGUGUGGUUUGGGCAAUAUAAUCUCUGAGAGUCCUUAUUUCCUCUUCCAUAAAAUGGGAACACUGAUACUUACAAUGUCCUCAUGAGCAAUUCCGAGAUAUAAAGACUUUAAAGCUCCUCCGUUGGGGUCGGCAAUAAUGUCCUUGUAGUAAAUGUGAAUAUUUUUCUCAGACCUAGUGUUUCAGGGAGCCUCAAACCAAUCAACCCCCAUCCCAACCCACCUCCACCUGCUUUGUGAACAGUAGCUUGACAAACACAUUUGGAGCCCUGGGGUGAGCCAGGCAAAUGAAUACAUAACAGAGCCUUGCCUGGUACGGCUUCGUUCAGUAAGAGGUUCCUAUGGAGUUCAAUGAUUCUGGGACUUUUGGAUUUCACAAGUCAUUAAAAUUUCAAAAAUAAUUUAG
ensembl:lncRNA